UACGAAGGGGGCUAGCGUUGCUCGGAAUCACUGGGCGUAAAGGGUGCGUAGGCGGGCUUUUAAGUCAGAGGUGAAAUCCUGGAGCUCAACUCCAGAACUGCCUUUGAUACUGAGAAUCUUGAGUACGGGAGAGGUGAGUGGAACUGCGAGUGUAGAGGUGAAAUUCGUAGAUAUUCGCAAGAACACCAGUGGCGAAGGCGGCUCACUGGCCCGUAACUGACGCUGAGGCACGAAAGCGUGGGGAGCAAACAGG
rnacentral:rRNA from 1 species